GCCCCUAUAGCUCAGUGGUAGAGCGUUCCACUCGUAUCAUGUGAUUGUAUUAUCUACGAUCUAGUGUACAUCGAAAUGGAGAGGUCCAUCGUUCAAUCCGGUGUGGGGGCA